rnacentral:rRNA from 1 species
GAUGAACGCUAGCGGCAGGCCUAAUACAUGCAAGUCGAACGAGAUUAAGAGGCUUGCUUCUUAUGAAAGUGGCGCACGGGUGCGUAACGCGUAUGCAACCUACCUUAAUCAGGGGGAUAGCCCGAAGAAAUUCGGAUUAAGACCGCAUAAAAACACAGGAUAGCAUUAUCCUAUGUUCAAAUAUUUAUAGGAUUAAGAUGGGCAUGCGUGUCAUUAGCUAGUUGGCGGGGUAACGGCCCACCAAGGCGACGAUGACUAGGGGAUCUGAGAGGAUGACCCCCCACACUGGUACUGAGACACGGACCAGACUCCUACGGGAGGCAGCAGUAAGGAAUAUUGGUCAAUGGAGGGAACUCUGAACCAGCCAUGCCGCGUGCAGGAAGACAGCCCUCUGGGUCGUAAACUGCUUUUAUUCGGGAAUAAACCUUUCUACGUGUAGGAAGCUGAAUGUACCGAAGGAAUAAGGAUCGGCUAACUCCGU